rnacentral:rRNA from 1 species
GACGAACGCUGGCGGCGGGCCUAACACAUGCAAGUCGAGCGGACCUGUCGGGGUCAUCGGCGGACGGGGGAGUAGCGCGUGGGGAUAGGGCCAUCUCUACGGAAUAGUCCUGGGAAACUGGGGGUAAUACAGGAUACGCUCGCUGGGGGGAAGCUUUAUCGGGGAAGGGUAAGCCGGGGUUGGAUAAGGUAGUGGGUGGGGUGAGGGCCGGCCAGGGGGCCGAUCCAUGGCUGGUUUGAGAGGAUGAUCAGCCAGGCUGGGACUGAGACACGGCCGAGACUCCUACGGGAGGCAGCAGUGGGGACUCUUAGACAAUGGGGGCAACCCUGAUCGAGCCAUGCCGCGUGAAUGACGAAGGCCUUAGGGUUGUAAAGCUCUUUCUGCUGUGAAGAUAAUGACGGUACCUGCAGAAGAAGCCCCGGCUAACUCCGUG